CUGCUCACUUCGGCAGCACAUAUACUAAAAUUUGAACAAUACAGAGGAGAUUAGCAUGGCCUCCACGCAGGGAUGACGCACAAAUUCAUGAAGAGUAGUCAGCUCUA
ensembl:snRNA U6 U6 spliceosomal RNA